UACGGAGGGGGCAAGCGUUGUUCGGAUUUACUGGGUGUAAAGGGCGUGUAGGCGGGAAAUUAAGUCAGAUGUGAAAUUCCAUGGCUCAACCGGGGGAGUGCAUCUGAAACUGAUUUUCUUGAGUACUGGAGAGGUAGGCGGAAUUCCAAGUGUAGCGGUGAAAUGCGUAGAGAUUUGGAGGAACACCAGUGGCGAAGGCGGGUUUCUGGACAGUAACUGACGCUGAGGCGCGAAAGCGUGGGGAGCAAACAGG
rnacentral:rRNA from 1 species